AUAACUCACAUAUCCAAUCAAGGUCAAAGGAGGAUCCUGUUGAUAAAAUCUAUUGUUCUUCUUGCCACUCACAAUCUCUAGCAACAUGACCCCAAAACUGAAAACAUCUGAUUUUACAGAAAAGUUUCCAAGCACAGCAUAUUCUGGUGACAUAUAGCCAAUGCAUCAGAAAAACAAGAAUCUGAAGUUUUAGUAUUCCUGGUAAUCAAUGAUACUACUUUGUCACUCGGUCUUUGUUUUAGACAAAGAUACUUACUAUGUUCCUACAACUCUCCUUGUCCUAUCUUCAGUUUGGUUGCCUUCAAAUAUUUUUGCCAUUCCAAAAUCUGAUAUUUUUGGGUUCAUCUCUGCAUCCAAUAGAAUGUUGCU
rnacentral:lncRNA from 1 species